GUGCUCGCUUCAGCAGCACAUACACUAAAACUGGAAAGAUACAGAGAUUAGCAUGGCCCCUGCGCAAAGACGACAUGCAAAUUUGUGAAGCAUUCCAUAUUGUU
ensembl:snRNA U6 U6 spliceosomal RNA